UACGGAGGAUCCAAGCGUUAUCCGGAAUUACUGGGCGUAAAGAGUUGCGUAGGUGGCAUUGUAAGCAGGUAGUGAAAGCGUUCGGCUCAACCGGAUUAACAUUACUUGAACUGCAAAGCUAGAGGACAAGAGAGGUCACUGGAAUUCCUUGUGUAGGAGUGAAAUCCGUAGAUAUAAGGAGGAACACCGAUGGCGUAGGCAGGUGACUGGCUUGUUCCUGACACUAAGGCACGAAAGCGUGGGUAGCAAACGGG
rnacentral:rRNA from 1 species